rnacentral:rRNA from 1 species
ACUGUUCUCUUUGAGGCCGGUCAUCGGAAUGGGUACAAUUUAAACCCUUUAACGAGUAUCAAGCAGAGGGCAAGUCUGGUGCCAGCAGCCGCGGUAAUUCCAGCUCUGCAAAUACAUAGAAUUAUUGCUGCGGUUAGAAAGCUCAUAGUUGGAUUCGUAUCGAUACCUUGGAACCCUUCGGGUGUCUCUAGGUGUUAUCGAUUUAUCGUAAUGUUCGGUUUUGAGUCCUUAACAGGAUUCUUAACAGGCAUUGCAAGUUUACUUUGAACAAAUCAGAGUGCUUCAAACAGGCGUUUUCGCUUGAAUGAUCGUGCAUGGAAUAAUAGAAAAUGAUUUCGGUUCAGUUUUAUUGGUUUUACGGACUGAGAUAAUGGUUAACAGAGACAAACGGGGGCAUUUGUAUGGUCCCGUGAGAGGUGAAAUUCUUGGACCGUGGCCAGACAAACUACAGCGAAAGCAUUUGCCAAGAAUGUUUUUAUUAAUCAAGAACGAAAGUCAGAGGUUCGAAGGCGAUCAGAUACCGCCCUAGUUCUGACCGUAAACGAUGCCAACUAGCGAUCCGCCGAUGGAAAUUAUAUUGCCUUGGUGGGGAGCUUCCCGGAAACGAAAGUCUUCCGGUUCCGGGGGAAGUAUGGUUGCAAAGCUGAAACUUAAAGGAAUUGACGGAAGGGCACCACCAGGAGUGGAGCCUGCGG